GUGAAUCAUCAAAUUUUUGAACGCAAAUUGCACUCUCUGGUAUUCCGGAGAGUAUGCCUGUUUGAGGGUCAUUUUAAAGAAAAAUCGGUGUAGUUUCUGCCUUUCGUGGUGACGCACCUGAUUGUUUUCGUCUUGCCUUCGGCUACGUUAGCUAAAAUUUUUCAUGAUUUUUUCGAACGUAUUUAAAUGAUUGUACGUACGUUUUCGAUAUAGAAUACUAGUU
rnacentral:misc_RNA from 1 species